CCUACGGGCGGCAGCAGUGAGGAAUAUUGGUCAAUGGGCGUAAGCCUGAACCAGCCAAGUCGCGUGAGGGAUGAAGGUUCUAUGGAUCGUAAACCUCUUUUAUAAGGGAAUAAAGUGUGGGACGUGUCCUAUUUUGUAUGUACCUUAUGAAUAAGGAUCGGCUAACUCCGUGCCAGCAGCCGCGGUAAUACGGAGGAUCCGAGCGUUAUCCGGAUUUAUUGGGUUUAAAGGGUGCGUAGGCGGCCUAGUAAGUCAGCGGUGAAAGUCUGUGGCUCAACCAUAGAAUUGCCGUUGAAACUGGGGGGCUUGAGUAUGUUAGAGGCACGCGGAAUGCGUGGUGUAGCGGUGAAAUGCUUAGAUAUCACGCAGAACCCCGAUUGCGAAGGCAGCCUACCAGGCCACGACUGACGCUGAUGCACGAAAGCGUGGGGAUCGAACAGGAUUAGAUACCCGAGUAGUC
rnacentral:rRNA from 1 species